rnacentral:rRNA from 1 species
GAGUUUGAUCGUGGCUCAGGAUGAACGCUAGCGGCAGGCUUAAUACAUGCAAGUCGUGGGGCAGCAUGUCCCGCAGCAAUGCGGGAUGAUGGCGACCGGCAAACGGGUGCGGAACACGUACACAACCUUCCUUUAAGUGGGGGAUAGCCCGGGGAAACCCGGAUUAAUACCCCGUAAUAUAAUGAAGUGGCAUCACUUUAUUAUUAUAGCUCCGGCGCUUGAAGAUGGGUGUGCGACUGAUUAGGCAGUUGGCGGGGUAACGGCCCACCAAACCUACGAUCAGUAACUGGUGUGAGAGCACGACCAGUCACACGGGCACUGAGACACGGGCCCGACUCCUACGGGAGGCAGCAGUAAGGAAUAUUGGUCAAUGGACGCAAGUCUGAACCAGCCAUGCCGCGUGGAGGAUGAAGGUCCUCUGGAUUGU